AAGAGACAGCAGCAGCCACGGGAAUACGUAGGGUGCAAGCGUUAAUCGGAAUUACUGGGCGUAAAGCGCACGCAGGCGGUCUGUCAAGUCGGAUGUGAAAUCCCCGGGCUCAACCUGGGAACUGCAUUCGAAACUGGCAGGCUAGAGUCUUGUAGAGGGGGGUAGAAUUCCAGGUGUAGCGGUGAAAUGCGUAGAGAUCUGGAGGAAUACCGGUGGCGAAGGCGGCCCCCUGGACAAAGACUGACGCUCAGGUGCGAAAGCGUGGGGAGCAAACAGGAUUAGAUACCCGAGUAGUCCCUGUCUCUUAUAC
rnacentral:rRNA from 1 species